rnacentral:tRNA from 1 species
GCCUGGGUGGCUCAGUCGGUUGAGCGUCUGACUUCAGCUCAGGUCAUGAUCUCACAGUUCAUGAGUUCGAGCCCCGUGUCUGGCU